GAUGAACGCUGGCGGCGUGCUUAAUACAUGCAAGUCGAACGGAGAGCUAGUAAUAGUUCUUAGUGGCGAACGGGUGAGUAACGCGUUGGUGACCUGCCCCAAAGCGGGGGAUAACAGUUCGAAAGGACUGCUAAUACCCCAUGAGAUCAUGAGGGUUAGAAGCCUGAUGAUGAAAGGAGCAAUCCGUUUUGGGAGGGGCCUGCGUCCCAUCAGCUAGUUGGUAGGGUAAAGGCCUACCAAGGCGACGACGGGUAGGGGGCCUGAGAGGGUGACCCCCCACACUGGCACUGAAACACGGGCCAGACACCUACGGGAGGCAG
rnacentral:rRNA from 1 species